CCAGCAGCUGUAAGGAAGUGCCAAAUGGGGACAAGUUAGCCAUGGACCUCAGUUUCCCUUCCUAGAGUAGAGAUGGUGGGGAGUCCUCCCAGGUCAUCUGAGGCAGGCCUCAGAGAUCCAGCCCAAGGGUGACUUCAGCAAGGCUAGGCAUAUGGGGGUAAGGGGAGGGACUUCUAGUAAGGGCCCUUCUAGAACUAUUGUUUUUGUUUGUUUUUUUGAGACAGGGUCUUGCUAUGUAGUCCAGGCUGGCCUCAAACUUGCAGCAAUCCUCCUGUCUCAGGCUCCUGAGUGCUGGGAUAACAGGCAUGCACUAUCAAACCCAGCUCUUCUAGAACUAUGGGGUCAAAAGUCAGGUUGGAGUCUAGGAUGUCCACAUAGCCCGGACCCACUGCACCACGGGGAAAUGUGCAAACACAGGGGCAUGGGGCAGCCUCUAAGGCACAUCCCCAGGUCUAGUGGCAACGUCACCCUUCAUCUUUCCCCCAGGAGGACUCAAGACUCUGACCUGUGUUCCAGGCUGCUCUUAUCUUAAUCCUUCCCAAUCUGGGGCGAUUUUAAUUAAUUACACCUCUCACCCAAAUUUGGCAAAAGUUAACUUUGCAGCAGAACAAUUCAAAAGAUGCAUCUGCUCCCCACAUUGCCCCUCUUGGAAGGGCAGAGUCAGGGGUAGUUGAUGGUCUGUGCUCACCUGCUGGCCCCAGUGACCUUGACCUUCUCAAGUCACUGGGGCCUGGGUGGAGGAAACAAAGCAACUUCCCUGGGCCUCAGUUUUCCAAACCUCAAAAUGGGUAAGAAUUUCAAGAACCAGGAACCUCCUCACUCUAAUACAAUGUCUAAGGAGGUUUUUUUUUUUUUCAGUACUGGGGAUUGAAUCUAGGGUCUUGCACAUGCUAGCUAAGCAUUCUAACAUUGAUCUACACCCAAAACCCUUUUAAAAUUUUUUCAUUUUGAGAUAGGGCUUUGCUCAGUCACUAAUUUGCCUGAGCUGGGCUUGAACUUGUGACCCUCCUGCCUCAGCCUCCUGAGUAGCUGGGAUGACAGGCAUGCAGCACUACACAUGGUCUUUCAAACGGGGACCCUGAUCCUGCAAGAUAUAAGCUGAAGAAAGGCACAACUUGUAGUGCAGAGAAGCACUUUGCUUCACCUGUUGCCUGUGACCAAUAUCCUGCCUUCCUGAGGGGAUAUGGAUUGUGGCCAUGAAACAGAAGAAGAAUUGGUUUCCCCAGUCAGAUAGAACAGAGACCACAGAAUCUCCUCUCAGACCCAUCUGUGACAUGUGAUAUGAACAGGAUCAUCCUCCCAGGGUUAUGGCAAAGAUUCAGUGGGAUAAACACCUGCCAAGAGCUCAGCACCUAGCAGUUAUGAUUAGUUCCAAACGCUGGGCCAGCGAUGGAUGCCAACAAGAUCACAGUAAAUAUUCCAUCCAGAGAAGCAAGUGGUGGAGAGAAAGAAGGGAGGUGGGGCUCCUGGGGGCUUGGGGUUAGCUCCUUGAUGACCCAGGGUUGAAGCUGGAGGCUGGACUCAGAGCCUCAGGCCAGCUCACUCCAUGUUGAUAUCCUCCCUAGCCUGAGGCCCCAUAAGGGCAGAAAUGAUGAGCCAUUUGUCCUUGGGUGCCCUGUCUCCGGCACAAUGCUAAGCGUGCUCCAGACUCUUCAUCAAUCCAUGCAGAAUGUCUAAGCCCCUCUCCCUGCCCCCAACUUUGCCAUACCUGGGAUGCCCAAUCUGAGAGGCAUUUUGGGCAGCAGCUGUGGGGAGCCAGGAGGCUCCCAGCCAACAGACAUAAUGGAAGACAAAGCAGGCAGUGGACAUGUCCUUGUCUAGGCAGAGGGAUCUGGAGAUGGCCACUCCAGGGAGUCCUUGGGGGUUCCCAAGGGCUGAGUGUGGAUGAGGGAGGGCCCAGGCUUUGGGGUGGAGUAGCAGUCCCAGAGGCUGUUCCUAUUUUUAGGCAUCACAAGACUCUCAGGGCAGGUGCCUGAGUCUGAGAAGGGGGCGGUCAAGCAGCCAAAAGGACAGGAGGAGACACAGUGUCCAAAGCCCAGGCCUUCCUCUGACCUCCAGGCCACAAUCCCACUUCGAGUCCAGCCACCCCUAUCCUGUACCCCCACUUGCUCAGGGAGACAAUGAAGGGUGGGCCUGACUUUCUUUGGUGGCUAUAUCUCCACCCUGCUGUUAUUUAUUUAUUUGUUUGUUUGUUUAUUUAUGUAUUGAGACAGGGUCUUGCUAUGUAGUUCAGGCUGGUCUUGAACUCCUGCCUCAGCCUCCCGAGUGCUAGAAUUACAGGUGUGUGCCACCACCUGGCAUCCCUAGGAUGUAAAACAGAUCUGGGGUGUCUGCCAGGUAGAGAAGAAAUGCCCAAUCCCUCAGAGCCAGACCUAUAGUGGAUCCCAGGAUCCCAGAGCCUCUUCCUGCAGAUUCCUAUAAAGUCCAGGCCUGAUCCUGUCCUGGCUAGCUGUGUGACCUAGACAAGAUCCUGCUGCUCUCUGGGCCUGGAAGAGGUGACUGCUAAGCCUGGCACGUUUAACAUGAAAGGAACAAUCAAGCUGGGAAUAGUGGCAAACCCUUGUUAGCCUGUAAUCACAGCAUUUUGAAGUCUGAGGCAAGAGGAUCGCCGAAAGUUCGAGUCCACUCUGAGCUACCUAGUGAGUUCCAGAUUAGCCUGAACUACAAAUCGAGACCCUGUCUCAAAAAAAACAAAAAAUACAAAAUACAAAUACAAAUACAAAUAC